rnacentral:lncRNA from 10 species
GCUAACACUCCUUGUUCCUGUGAACCAACCAGCAAUCUCCAGCUGCAGCUCAGAAAGAAGGAGAGGAUGGCAUAAAUGAGGUCUAGGAAACUCCAAGACUACUGACUGUAGGGGGUAUAGAAACAUAGGCCAUCAAACUCCAAAUGGUCGUGCAACCGGAGCCUCGGAAGAUGGCGCCUUCUGCCGGGAACCCUUAGAUAGGCUUCUGAGGGAGCUCUGACUGCCGUUUCCCAAAACACCGCUCCCUGUUAGCAGGAAGCAGUUUAGAUCGGUCUUCGUCCUCACCCCUAUCCUUGUUCUAACAGUAGUUUGAUGUACUUCUUGAGAGGGGGGAAUGAGACAGCCAAGUGUAAAGGGGUCCCCAGAGAACCUCUGACAAACCCGCACACUGGGAGGAAUGUGCACUGGGGUGGAGCCUCUGGAAGUUCGUGCUGAGGAGCCUGGCCCCUCCUCUUCCAGGGUGGAACCUGGGAUUCAACCUGAGAGGUGGGAAGCGUGUACUAGCAGGACUCUCACUCUGCCGAGGGUCCCCGUUUCCCCGCUUUUUUUUUUUGCCCAAUAAAUUCCAUUUUUCUCACCCUUCAAAGUGUCUGCAAGCCUAAUAUUUCAUGGCCAGGUGACAAGGACCCUGUCUUUGGCUGAACUGAGGAGAAACUCCUACAACAUUACCAUCCAGCAAUUCCUAUUUUUUUUUUUUUUUUUUUUUGAGACAGGGUCUCACUCUAUCAACCCAGGCUGGACUGCAGUGGCACAGUCAUAGCCCACUGCAGCCUCUACCUCCUGAGCUAAAGAGAUCCUCCCAUCUCAGCUUCCUGCAUAGCUAGGACUACAGGCGUGGACCACCACACUGGGCUAAAUUUUUUGUAUUUUUAUGUAGAGACGGGGUUUCACCAUGUUGCCCAAGCUGUUCUAGAAUCCCUGGCUCAAGUGAUCUACCUGCCUUGGCCUCCCAAAGUGCUGGAAUUACAGGUAUGAGCCACCAUGCUUGGCUUCCAACCAAUAUUUUAAAGUUCAUGAUGGGAAUGGAGUUUGUCUCAGAUGAUAGAUUUUUAUGGAGCCACAUGCCAAUUUCCUUAGAAUACUUUCCCUCAUGGAUACACCCCACAGAAACUCAGAAUCAUCCCCUCAAUUCUUAUCCCCCCUCAUGCCCAUUUACAAUUAAUCCCUGUUGUCACUUCCAGCCCCAGGCAACUACUAAUCUACUUUCUGCCUCUAUAAAUUUGCCUUCCCUGCACAUUUCAUGUAAGUGAAAUCAUGCCACAUGAAGCCUCUUAGGUCUGGCUUCUUUCACUUAACAUAAUGUUUUUGACGCUCAUCCACGACAUAGCAUGUGUCAUCACGUUUCAUUGCUGCACAGUCUUCUAUUGUAUGGAUUCACCACAUUUUGUCUAUCUACUCACCA